AGAUUGAACGCGGGCGGCAUGCCUUACACAUGCAAGUCGAACGGUAACGCGGGGCAACCUGGCGACGAGUGGCGAACGGGUGAGUAAAGUAUCGGAACGUGCCCAAUAGUGGGGGAUAGCCCGGCGAAAGCCGGAUUAAUACCGCAUGAGACCUGAGGGUGAAAGCGGGGGACUCGCAAGAGCCUCGCGCUAUUGGAGCGGCCGAUAUCAGAUUAGGUAGUUGGUGGGGUAAAGGCCUACCAAGCCGACGAUCUGUAGCUGGUCUGAGAGGACGACCAGCCACACUGGGACUGAGACACGGCCCAGACUCCUACGGGAGGCAGCAGUGGGGAAUUUUGGACAAUGGGCGCAAGCCUGAUCCAGCCAUGCCGCGUGCGGGAAGAAGGCCUUCGGGUUGUAAACCGCUUUUGUCAGGGAAGAAAUCCUCUGAGCUAAUACCUCGGGGGGAUGACGGUACCUGAAGAAUAAGCACCGGCUAACUACGUGCCAGCAGCCGCGGUAAUACGUAGGGUGCGAGCGUUAAUCGGAAUUACUGGGCGUAAAGCGUGCGCAGGCGGUCUUGCAAGACAGGUGUGAAAUCCCCGGGCUUAACCUGGGAACUGCACUUGUGACUGCAAGGCUGGAGUACGGCAGAGGGGGAUGGAAUUCCGCGUGUAGCAGUGAAAUGCGUAGAUAUGCGGAGGAACACCGAUGGCGAAGGCAAUCCCCUGGGCCUGUACUGACGCUCAUGCACGAAAGCGUGGGGAGCAAACAGGAUUAGAUACCCUGGUAGUCCACGCCCUAAACGAUGUCAACUGGUUGUUGGACGGCUUGCUGUUCAGUAACGAAGCUAACGCGUGAAGUUGACCGCCUGGGGAGUACGGCCGCAAGGUUGAAACUCAAA
rnacentral:rRNA from 1 species